UGUUUGGUUUGUUACGUGUGGUUGGCUGCGGCGUUUGCAACAACUUCCAUGCUUUCAGACCUCUUCAGUUGUGCGGCAAGGCUUGUAUCGCCUUGAGCGUAUUGUGGGUUUUCUGUGUUGGCUACCUAAUCAAUGGUAUCGUUUGGAUUGAUCAAAGUUUGAUUUCGUCUUCCGUCGCGUUUGCGGCGUGAGGUGAACCUUGAUGCGGUCUCUUUGAUCCAUCUCGUCGAAGCACAUGCUUUGACGUUGUGGCACAUUGAGCAUUGCUUGGUCUCUUGUAUACGGAACACGUAGUGGGCAUGGAUCUAACGAUUCUUGUUUGCCCUCAUAUUAGCGUAACGCUUCUCUAACACGACUUGCAACACGUUUUAGCUCGUACGGACGUGGUGCUAUGUCGCAGAGGAAUGCUACCUGGUUGAUCCUGCCAGAGUCAAGNU
rnacentral:misc_RNA from 1 species